UGGUGGAGUGAUUUGUCUGGUUAAUUCCGAUAACGAACGAGACUCUGUCCUGCUAACUAGACGCCCGGUUUCUUGUACACCGGGCGACUUCUUCUUAGAGGGACUGGCGGCGUCUAGCCGCACGAGAUUGAGCAAUAACA
rnacentral:rRNA from 1 species